GAAAGUGAGAGGGAGAUGGACAUUGAGAGAACGAGGAGGAAGGAGAGAAAAUGGCGUCCAUGGAUUACAGUACCUAUAGCCAGGAUGCAUCACAGCAGGGCUAUAGUGCUUACACCUCCCAGCCCACUCAAGGAUACGCACAGACCACCCAGGUAUAUGAGCAACAAAGCUAUGGAACCUAUGGACAGCCCACUGAUGUCAGCUAUUCCCAGGCUCAGACCGCUGCAACCUAUGGGCAGACCGCCUAUGCAACUUCUUAUGGACAGCCUCCCACUGGUUAUGCUACUCCAGCCACUCCCAGGCACAGCCAGCCUGUCCAGGGGUGUGGCACUAGUGCUUUUGAUAACACCACUGCUACAGUCACCACACCCAGGCCUCCUACGCAGCUCAGUCUGCAUAUGGCAAUCAGCCUGCUUAUCCAGCCUAUGGGCAGCGGCCAGCAGCCACUACACCUACAAGACCGCAGGAUGGUAAGAAGCCCACUGAGACUAGUCAGUCUCUGUCUAGCACAGGAGGUUACAACCAGCCCAGCCUAGGAUAUGGACAAAGUAACUACACUUAUGCCCAGGUACCUGGGAGCUACCCCACGCAGCCAGUCACCGCAUCUCCAUCCUACCCUCCUACCAGCUAUUUCUCUACACAGCCGACUAGUUAUGAUCAGAGCAGUUACUCUCAGCAGAAGACCUAUGGGCAACUGAGCAGGUAUGGACAGCAGAGAAGCUAUGGUCAACAAAGCAGCUAUGGGCAGCAGCCUCCCACUAGUUACCCACCCCAAACUGAAUCCUACAACCAGGCUCCAAGUCAAUAUAGCCAACAGAGCAGCAGCAGAGUUCAUUCCGAUGGACCACCCCAGUAGCAUGGGUGUUUAUGGGCAGGAGUCUGGAGGAUUUUCUGUUCCGGGAGAGAACUGGAGCAUGAGUGGCCCUGAUAACCGGGGCAGGGGAAGAGGGGCAUUUGAUCGUGGAGGCAUGAGCAGAGGUGGGUGGGGAGGAGGGCGUGGUGGAAUGGGUGCUGGAGAGCCAGGUGGCUUCAAUAAGCCUGGUGGAUCCGUGGACGAAGGACCAGAUCUUGAUCUAGGCCCACCUGUAGAUCCAGAUGAAGACUCUGAUAACAGUGCAAUUUAUGUACAAGGAUUAAAUGACAGUGUGACUCUAGAUGAUCUGGCAGACUUCUUUAAGCAGUGUGGGGUUGUUAAAAUGAACAAGAGAACUGGGCAACCCAUGAUCCACAUCUACGUGGACAAGGAAAUAGGAAGUUUCCAGAGGCGAUGCCACAGUGUCCUAUGAAGACCCACCUACUGCCAAGUCUGCCAUGGAGUGGUUUGAUGGGAAAGAUUUUCAAGGGAGCAAACUUAAAGUCUCUCUUGCUCGGAAGAAGCCUCCAGUGAACAGCAUGCGGGGUGGUAUGCCAGCCAGUGAGGGCACAGGGAUGCCACCACCACUCCACAGAGCUCCAGGAGGCCCAGGAGGUCCUGGGGGACCAUGGAGGAGACAGAGGAGGCUUCCCUCCCAGAGGACGCUGGGAGGGAAGUUUGCCUGGAAAACAGUGCAACCAGUGUAAGGCCCCAAAGCCUGAAGGCUUCCUCCCGCCACGCUGGUAG